rnacentral:miRNA from 1 species
UCUGAAGGCAGUCAGGUAGGCGG